rnacentral:lncRNA from 1 species
AACUAUUGGGUCAAACAAUGUUACCUGUGACGUCCCACUUUUCUGGGAGUCAUCCAUCCUAGGACUACUCUAGUCCUAACAUACUUAACUCUCUUAACCUCUUGGGCCUAACAACUGCUUUCCGGCUGAUAAUUAGCUCUGAUACUAAUUGUCACGUCCCAACUUUCUAGGGGGUCACCCAUCCUAGGACUACUCUAGUCUUGGCAUAUUUAACUCUCUUAACCUCUUGGGCUUAACCACUGUCCCAAAUGUUAUAACCAGAUUAAGAAAUUUAGUCCUACUAUAUUUUAUAUAUAGGACUAAUUGGGGUCUCACAAUAUAUAAAAGGAUUCCAACCUAAUAAUAAUAAUUAGGGCUCACUAGCCGGAAGUGUGAAAUGAGUCUUGUCUGAGCCAGGUUCGGAAUGACAGACUAAGCCAUGGUCGGAAUGACAAAGCUAACGAGAUCAGUUUCACAUCAUCUGGUGAUCUUGGAUUGUGUGUGUGUUUAGAACUGACGAGGACGUUAGAGCCUAAAUAGGGGGAAUUUGUGACACCCUAAUAUUCCACAUCGGAUGAAAAUGGAGUUGUCAUUGGGUAUAUGAGAUGACUCCACCCUAGUAAUAAUAACUGGGCUUAAGCAUUUUGGGCUGGUUGUUUGGGUUCAACAAGUUAUUAUUGCCAGCGGGUCGGGUCGUUACAACUGCUCUUUAAGUCUUCUAAAUAAUUCAGUCACAGGUAUAUCACCUUUAAUU